rnacentral:tRNA from 1 species
GGUCUUAUAGCUCAACUGGUAGAGCACUUCACCGAUAAUGAAGAAGUUAGGGUUCGUGUCCUCAUUGAGGCCC